UACGGAGGAUCCAAGCGUUAUCCGGAUUUAUUGGGUUUAAAGGGUGCGUAGGCGGCUUUUUAAGUCAGGGGUGAAAGACGGUGGCUCAACCAUCGCAGUGCCCUUGAUACUGAAGAGCUUGAAUGAACUAGAGGUAGGCGGAAUGUGACAAGUAGCGGUGAAAUGCAUAGAUAUGUCACAGAACACCGAUUGCGAAGGCAGCUUACUAUGGUUUAAUUGACGCUGAGGCACGAAAGCGUGGGGGAUCAAACAGG
rnacentral:rRNA from 1 species